AAAAAGAUAAACCAUGGGUUUCCGUGUCCAACUUUGACUGUCCGUCUUAUAUGAAAUUUUUUUAUAAUUCGUAUUUUCAUUGUUGUUAGAUGAUAAAACAUGAUUAAUAUUUUAUGCGUGACUUGUCUUUUUAAUUUUUUUCAUAUUUUUUUUCAAAUAAGACGGACGGUCAAAUGUUGGACACGGAAACC
rnacentral:pre_miRNA from 1 species